ensembl:snRNA U2 U2 spliceosomal RNA
AUCGCUUCUCGGCCUUUUGGCUAAGAUCAAGUGUAGUAUCUGUUCUUAUCAGUUUAAUAUCUGAUACGUCCUCGAUUAGAGGACUUUAUAUUAAACGGAUUUUUGGCACUGGGAGUUGGAUCCGGAGCUUGCUCCCUCCGCUCCACGCAUCGUCCCGGUAUUGCAGUGCUUCCGGGAACGGUGCACCCCCU